GGGCCUAUAGCUCAGCUGGCUAGAGCGUACGACUGAUAAUCGUAAGGUCGGUGGUUCAAGUCCACCUAGGCCCA
rfam:Heliobacterium modesticaldum Ice1, complete genome.